CCGAUUUCCAAAUAGGGAUGUUUGUAGAAUUCAGUCUUUGAGAAUUCCACUGUGAACUGACCUGAUCCACACCUCCUGGUUUAACAUACACAGCCUAGGAGGAACCAAAUGUGAUGAGUUUCAAAUCACAAUUGAAGAGUUGUCUGUUCUAACAAGUUUUCCCUGAUUCUAAAUAUUUUUUUAAACGUGGGAUAUCCUUUUACCUUUCUGGAAUUUUAAUUAUGUGAACACAUGCAAAAAUAACAUGGAUUGGACCAUCCCUGCUUCCAGGCUCUUCAUGGUUUUGAAGGAUUUACACCAACUUUUCAUUGGACAAAUCAAAGCUGGCAGGUUCGAGUAUUACCCUUUUGUUUUAUAACUAAGCAGUCUCUUGCAAUUUCCAGUGUUCCGAGAACGAUACAUUAAAAGGCAACACAGUUAUGAGGGUCAGCUGGAGCAACAAAGUUUUAUGAAUGGUUUGCUAGAAAGUGCAUUAAAAUGAAAGAAAGCAAGCAAGAAAGAAAGCAAGCAAGAAAGAAAGAGGUUCUGUUCUUUUCAGUGGUACCUCUCCUUCCCCCCUCCACCCCCAUCUACAAGGAUGAUAAAUGUAUAGAGAGAACAGAAUGAA